rnacentral:lncRNA from 1 species
AUGAUCACCAUCGCCAUGAUCGCUGUAUCAUUGCCAUCAUCAUUGUCAUCAUCAUCACCCCAUCAUCAUCAUUGUCAUCAGUAUCAUCCCCAUCAUCAUUGUCAUCAUCCUCACCGUCAUCAUCAUUGUCAUCAUCCCCAUCAUCAUUGUCAUCACAUCACUGCCAUCAUCAUUGUCAUACAUCAUGCCAUCAUCAUUGUCAUCAUCUUCACCAUCAUCAUCAUUGCCAUCAUCAUCAUUGUCAUCACAUCAUUGCCAUCAUCAUUGUCAUCAUCCGCAUCAUCAUUGUCAUCAGUAUCAUCCCCAUCAUCGUCGUUGUCAUCAUCAUCAUCCCCAUCAUCAUCAUCAUCACAUCAUUGCCAUCAUCAUUGUCAUCAUCGUCAUCCCCAUCAUCGUCAUCAUCAUCCUUGUCAUCAACAUCACUGUCAUCAGUAUCAUCUCCAUCAUCAUAGUUGUCAUCAUCGUCAUCCCCAUCAUCAUUGUCAUCAUCAUCCCCAUCAUCAUUGUCAUCAUCUUCACCAUCAUUAUCAUUGCCAUCAUCAUCAUUGUCAUCAUCCGCAUCAUCAUUGUCAUCACAUCAUUGCCAUCAUCAUUGUCAUCAUCUUCACCAUCAUUAUCAUUGCCAUCAUCAUCAUUGUCAUCAUCCGCAUCAUCAUUGUCAUCACAUCAUUGCCAUCAUCAUUGUCAUCAUCUUCACCAUCAUCAUCAUCAACAUCAUUGCCAUCAUCAUUGUCAUCAUCAUCAUCCACAUCAUCAUCAUCCCCAUCAUCAUCCAUCAUCAUCAUCAUCCCCAUCAUCAUCAUCCCCAUCAUCAUCAUUGUCAUCACAUCAUUGCCAUCAUCAUUGUCAUCAUUGUCAUUGUCAUCAUCAUCGUCAUCAUCAUCCCCAUCAUCAUUGUCAUCAUCUUCACCGUCAUCAUCAUCAUUGUCAUCACAUCAUUGUCAUCAUCAUUGUCAUCAUCAUCCCCAUCAUCAUCAUUGUCAUCAUCAUCAUUGUCAUCACAUUAUUUCCAUCGUCAUUGUCAUCAUCGUCAUCCCCAUCAUCGUCAUCAUCAUCCCUGUCAUCAACAUCACUGUCAUCAGUAUCAUCCCCAUCAUCAUAGUUGUCAUCAUCGUCAUCACUACCGCUCUAGGACCAACAUGUAAGGGGCUGAAAGUGUGUCCCCAGUAA